UAGGGAAUCUUCCGCAAUGGACGCAAGUCUGACGGAGCAACGCCGCGUGAGUGAAGAAGGUUUUCGGAUCGUAAAACUCUGUUAUUAGGGAAGAACAAAUGUGUAAGUAACUAUGCACGUCUUGACGGUACCUAAUCAGAAAGCCACGGCUAACUACGUGCCAGCAGCCGCGGUAAUACGUAGGUGGCAAGCGUUAUCCGGAAUUAUUGGGCGUAAAGCGCGCGUAGGCGGUUUUUUAAGUCUGAUGUGAAAGCCCACGGCUCAACCGUGGAGGGUCAUUGGAAACUGGAAAACUUGAGUGCAGAAGAGGAAAGUGGAAUUCCAUGUGUAGCGGUGAAAUGCGCAGAGAUAUGGAGGAACACCAGUGGCGAAGGCGACUUUCUGGUCUGUAACUGACGCUGAUGUGCGAAAGCGUGGGGAUCAAACAGG
rnacentral:rRNA from 1 species